rnacentral:rRNA from 1 species
UGGUGGAGUGAUUUGUCUGGUUAAUUCCGUUAACGAACGAGACCUUAUCCUGCUAAAUAGUUGCUGGAAGUUUUCUUCCACGGCAACUUCUUAGAGGGACUAUUGAUGUUUAAUCAAUGGAAGUUUGAGGCAAUAACA